GACAGAGGUGCCGAGCGUUAGGCGGAAUCACUGGGCUUAAAGCGUGUGUAGGCGGGCGAUCAAGUACCUUGUGAAAUCCCACGGCUCAACCGUGGAACCGCUGGGUAUACUGGUUGUCUUGAGCCGGCUAGGGGCGAGCGGAACAGACGGUGGAGCGGUGAAAUGCGUAGAUAUUGUCUGGAACGCCGAAGGUGAAAACAGCUCGCUGGGGCCGCGCUGACGCUGAGACACGAAAGCCAGGGGAGCGAACGGG
rnacentral:rRNA from 1 species